rnacentral:rRNA from 1 species
AAAUUUGAAAUCUGACCUUUNGGGUCCGAGUUGUAAUUUGUAGAGGAUGUUUCGGGUAAGAUCCAGGCCUAAGUUCCUUGGAACAGGACGUCAUAGAGGGUGAGAAUCCCGUACGUGGCUCAUGAUCGCACCCAUGUGAAACUCCUUCGACGAGUCGAGUUGUUUGGGAAUGCAGCUCAAAAUGGGAGGUAAAUUCCUUUUAAAGCUAAAUAUUGGCCAGAGACCGAUAGCGCACAAGUAGAGUGAUCGAAAGAUGAAAAGCACUUUGAAAAGAGAGUUAAAAAGCAUGUGAAAUUGUUGAAAGGGAAGCGCUUGCAGCCAGACUUGUUUAUAGGGUUCAGCCGUCGUUCUCGUCGGUGUAUUUCUCUAUUAUCAGGCCAGCAUCAGUUUAAGUGGAAGGUCAAAGGCCUUGGGAAUGUAUCUUCCUCCGGGAUGACUUAUAACCCUUGGUGUAAUGCUUCCUACCUAGACUGAGGCACGCGUUCGCUAGGAUGCUGGCGUAAUGGCUGUAAGCGACCCGUCUUGAAACACGGACCAAGGAGUCUAACUUCUAUGCUA